UACGGAGGAUGCAAGCGUUAUCCGGAUUUAUUGGGUUUAAAGGGUGCGUAGGCGGAUAUGUAAGUCAGCGGUGAAACUCACAGGCUCAACCUGUGCCGUGCCGUUGAAACUGUGUAUCUGGAAUGCGGAUGCUGUGGGAGGAAUGUGUAGUGUAGCGGUGAAAUGCAUAGAUAUUACACAGAACACCGAUUGCGAAGGCAUCUCACAAAGCCGUUAUUGACGCCGAGGCACGAAAGUGUGGGGAUCAAACA
rnacentral:rRNA from 1 species